rfam:Oryza punctata chromosome 2, whole genome shotgun sequence.
AAUAAAUAUAGUUUUACACUAUUCAUAUCUAACGUUUGACCGUCCGUCUUACCUGACAAAAAUUAUAAUUAUUAUUUUUGUUACUAUUAGAUGAUAAAACAUGAAUAGCACUUAUGUGUGCCUAAUUUUUUUAAUCCUUUUAUAACUUUUUCAAAUAAGAUGGACGGUCAAACAUUGGAUACGGAAACUCAUGGUUGCACUUAUU